GAGGCUUUUACGUACUCUGGCUGGACGUUCUUAAAACCUGCCUGAUCAAAACCAUCAUAGAGCUCCAACAUCAUCAACAUCAUGGAGCGCAUACUUUGAACCGGAUACAUCCACAGUUGUGUCCGCUGCUACUUCUGAUGAGAAGAACAUCUGUUCAGUUCAGUCUGAGAGUCCUCAGAUUCAGACACAAGUCUUCCUGCUGAUCCCUCCCAGCAAGACCCGUCAGAGGAGAUACAGAAGAAACUGGUUCCUGUCCAGACUGCACGUCUUAUUGCCCGGGCUAAAUACAGGCUUCUACAUCACAGGCUAGAUUUACACCAGAGCUCUCAUCAUAACAUCUGCCUAGUUCAAGUUAAAAUAGUCUAAUGUACAUAUGUUUUAUCUCUUGGUGUUAUAUUUACAGAAAAGUCAUACAGACGGAAGUGAAGAUAUGAGGGCAGUGCCAACAUGGACAUCUACACCACUGUGAGUUAAUCAAUUUCUUGUUUUAUUCCUUAAACACUUGUAGUAUUUGGUUUCACUUAACUGUAAUUGUCCUUCAGUGUUUGCUUAAAAAGUUCAACAAUAUUUUUUGUGUAUAUACAGACAUUCAUCUGUUCGUCCUGACCCCGAGGAUUCUUCUCUGUUCGAGGG